rnacentral:ncRNA from 1 species
GAGAGUAGUUAAGUAUCGACUCAUCCAAAAGAUGGGUUGGCUUGGUUGGCGGACCACUACUUUCACAAUCCACAACACAAAACUUAUGACUCUGAUUAAGUCAAAUUAAUUAUUAUGAAGUAAGGAAAAGUGUCCGUCAGGUUUGAAUGAAAGGUGACUACAUAGUAAUGAGCCGUUCAUUGCACACAAAGAUCCCAAGUCGAUGUGUAAUUAUCCCAAACACCUUUAGUCCCGCAAGGACGAACUGGGAAGGCAUUCUCAGAAAGAGUCAAGUAAGAUGAGAGUAAUUUAAACCUUAAGGAGUGGUAAACCUAAAAGACCGUCACUGAGAAAUACUUCUCAAAAGGAAGUGGAUAGGAGUAGAAACAAUAAUGACUCUAAAGGUUCUCAAUCAAACGUGUAAUCUCAGCGU